GGGGUUGUGGCUCAGCGGUAGAGCACUCCUAGCACAUGGUGAGGCCCUGGGUUUGAUCCUCAGCACCACA
rnacentral:tRNA from 1 species